GUCCACGCUGUAAACGAUGGGCACUAGGUGUGGGGGGUGUCGACUCCCUCCGUGCCGAAGCUAACGCAUUAAGUGCCCCGCCUGGGGAGUACGGCCGCAAGGCUAAAACUCAAAGGAAUUGACGGGGGCCCGCACAAGCAGCGGAGCAUGUGGUUUAAUUCGACGCAACGCGAAGAACCUUACCUGGGCUUGACAUGACCCUGACCGCCGUGGAAACACGGCUUUCCUUCGGGACAGGGCCACAGGUGGUGCAUGGCUGUCGU
rnacentral:rRNA from 1 species